rnacentral:rRNA from 1 species
UACGAAGGGGGCUAGCGUUGCUCGGAAUCACUGGGCGUAAAGGGUGCGUAGGCGGGUCUUUAAGUCAGGGGUGAAAUCCUGGAGCUCAACUCCAGAACUGCCUUUGAUACUGAAGAUCUUGAGUUCGGGAGAGGUGAGUGGAACUGCGAGUGUAGAGGUGAAAUUCGUAGAUAUUCGCAAGAACACCAGUGGCGAAGGCGGCUCACUGGCCCGAUACUGACGCUGAGGCACGAAAGCGUGGGGAGCAAACGGGGAUUAGAUGA